rnacentral:lncRNA from 1 species
AACAUGAUGUUAAUGAUGCAUGAUGUAAAACAUGAUGUAAAAAACUUGUGUAGAUCCUCCUCUAUGUUAGUCCAUGUGUAAUUUUUCCAUAAUUCUUUGUUUUUUGCAGCAUUUUUGUUAGUGUAACUGCAGAUUGUGCUGACAGUGUCUAUGGCAAAAAAAAAAAAAAAAAUUAAAAUGCCUCAACAUGAACCCCUGGUGGUCUCUGAGGGUGAAACCUGCUAACUGCUGCAGCUCUGUCAGCUUCAGUCUCCCAUGCAGAGCUCGGAGCGCAUGUGUGGCUCUGCACCCUUAGCAGCGUUGCUAACUCCUCAGUAAGGAAAGCCUGCUUCAUGUCAGAGUCUCUAAACUCCAGAAGAAGUCGAUAAAAGUCACUUUCUUUCUAAAAAAAAAGUCAUUAGGGGGUCUGAAAAGUCAUUGAAUCUAACAACAAAGUCGCUAGGUUUGCAACUACGUGUCCCAGACUGCAUCCCUGCUGAGAGUCCCUCCCUCCCUCCCUUCUCAUAUUGCAGGAAGAACGUAAGCGCCCGCCCCUUGUCAAUCAGUCACCAUAUAAUUUUGGAUUGGUUGUUGUGGUGAAGUUUUCCACCAAUAGGAGAGAUGUUGUGGUGUGUUUUUUUUUUCCUUUGGCAAGCCUUUUCCGCCUGUAAGACCUGUCGCUAAUGUCUGCAUGCUAUGUUUUCCUGUCUCAUACAGCGCGAUCAGCGCAGAACGUGAUCAAAAUAAGCAGAAAAAAAGUAUCACGGACAUAAUUUAUCAUAACUCUGGUUUUAUUUGGCCUAUCAACACAAUUUAAAAACUGGUAUAUAGGUUGAGGUCCUCACUUUUGAGAUAAGUUGAAACGGAGAGUCAACGAGGCUCCGUCUUGCAGCUACAUCCGUUUAAAUAUGUCAUGUGACUUGAACGCACACACACACACACACACACACACAGACACACACACACAAGCACACACACACACUCAGAGUCUGGUUUUUAGCACCUGCAAAAACAUGCUAUUUACAUAUUUGACAAGAAUGCAGAGGCUCCUUUUGCCCCUGAAAAAAAUCAAAUUUCAAACACAACUUGACUGGUCAUUUCUCCAAAAGACAACCAUGAAGCUCCAUCCAAACCUGAAGCAGGCAGUUGGUGCAUGUGUACAGUAACCUGAGGGGAGUGAGGUGACUGCUUCUGAGGAGAACAUGAGCAGUGAAGAUUCACCUUAGAGCUAGAACAGAGACGUGCACAUGAUUAUACAGGGGCAGGGGCUCAAGUUUUUUCCAGUUGUUUAUACAAUAUGGAAAUUAAUGUGAAAUUAAAAAACAAAGUAUUAAUAGAAAGGUAAUGACUGUCCUGUGUAGGUGACAGUGAUAUCGAAUAGGCUAGGCACUCACGAGGCUGGCUGUGGCAAGUGUAAGUGAAAGCAACACGCACUGGCAGGAAGAACAGCAAACGCCGAUGAAGGAAAAGGGUCUUUGCAGUGAUGGGCGUUACCAGAGAGGGCGAUGGCCAGAGGGGGGGGGGGGGGGGCGCGACACAGCGCGGGCCCGCCAGUGCCCCAACGGGGUCCUAGUCUUAUUAUUUUUCUGCCCCUUUGAACUGGAAAAUGGCCCACUUCCCACUGGUGAAAAGUCAUGAAAUUUGGCAGGACGACCGGGCCUGGUGAAAAAUUCGAUAUUCUGAAGUCGCCCAAAAAAUCAAAUGCAAAAUGGCUCCAUAGCGCCCCCUAAGGUGAAAAAUUCACAUGAUUGAGUGUCACGCCUGUACGCUUUGUCAAAAUGACACAAAAUUUGACACACACGUGUAUCUCAAUAAGAUCUACAAAAAAGUCAGUGCGGGCGUAUCUGUCAAAUGUACGGUUAAAGGGCUAUUUCGCAUUUUUUGCCGAUCCGCACACAUUGGAAUUUCGCUAACUCCUCCGAAGGCUUUCGUUCCACCGGCACCAAAUUUGCUCAGGCCAAUCUACACCCCAUGGCCAUUAAAAGUUGUACAAAUCAUGACGCUGCAUCCCACGGUUUACGUUCUAGGGGGCGCCAAAGAUAACCCAGAAAUCCACAUUCUUAAAAGUCGUAUAACUUUUUAUUUUUGUCCUCACUGGCCUCCAAGUUUUCUAGGAUGAUGCAAUGUCCAGCCAUCAACACAUUUGUGAAGGAAUUUUUACUCCCCAAAAGAGCGCCCCCCCAUGGCAGGAGAAAAAAGUCCAUUUUUUCUUGUCUCCUAAGGCGAAAAUUCACACUAUUGACUGUCACGCCUUUACGCUUUGUCAUAUUGACACAAAAAUUGACACACACAUGUAUCUCAAUAAGAUCUACAAAAAAGUCAGUGCGGGCGUAUCUGUCAAAUGUACGGUGAAAGGGCUAUUUCGCAUUUUUUGCCGAUCCGCACACAUUGGAAUUUCGCUAACUCCUCCGAAGGCUUUCGUUCCAAAGGCACCACAUUUGCUGAGGCCAAUCUACACCCCAUGGCCAUUAAAAGUUGUACAAAUCAUGACACUGCACCCCACGGUUUACGUUCUAGGGGGCGCCAAAGAUAACCCAAAAAUCCACAGUCUUAAAAGUCUUAUAACUUUUUAUUUUUGUCCUCACUGGCCUCCAAGUUCUCUAGGAUGAUGCAAUGUCCAGCCAUCAACACAUUUGUGAAGGAAUUUUUACUCGCCAAAAGAGCGCCCCCCCCAUGGCAGGAGAAAAAAGUCCAUUUUUUCUUGUCUCCUAAGGCGAAAAUACACAUUGUUGACUGUCACGCCUUUACGCUUUGUCAAAAUGACACAAAAUUUGACACACACAUGUAUAUCAAUAAGAUCUACAAAAAAGUCAGUGCGGAAGUAUCUGUCAAAUGUACGGUUAAAGGGUUAUUUCGCAUUUUUUGCCGAUCCGCACACAUUGGAAUUUCGCUAACUCCUCCUAAAUCUUUUGUCCCAUCGGCUUCAAAUUUGCUCAGGUCAAUCUACACCCCAUGGCCAUUCAAAAUUGUACAAAUCAUGACGCUGCACCCCACAGUUUACGUUCUAGGGGGCGCCAAAGAGGACCCAAAUAUCCACAUUUUUAAAAGUCUUAUAACUUUUUAUUUUUGUCCUCACUGGCCUCCAAGUUU